AUGAACGCUGGCGGCGUGCCUAAUACAUGCAAGUCGCGCGAACAGACGAGGAGCUUGCUCCUCUGACGUUAGCGGCGGACGGGUGAGUAACACGUGGAUAACCUACCUAUAAGACUGGGAUAACUUCGGGAAACCGGAGCUAAUACCGGAUAAUAUAUUGAACCGCAUGGUUCAAUAGUGAAAGACGGUUUUGCUGUCACUUAUAGAUGGAUCCGCGCCGCAUUAGCUAGUUGGUAAGGUAACGGCUUACCAAGGCGACGAUGCGUAGCCGACCUGAGAGGGUGAUCGGCCACACUGGAAUUGAGACACGGUCCAGACUCCUACGGGAGGCAGCAGUAGGGAAUCUUCCGCAAUGGGCGAAAGCCUGACGGAGCAACGCCGCGUGAGUGAUGAAGGUCUUCGGAUCGUAAAACUCUGUUAUUAGGGAAGAACAAAUGUGUAAGUAACUAUGCACGUCUUGACGGUACCUAAUCAGAAAGCCACGGCUAACUACGUG
rnacentral:rRNA from 1 species